AGAGAGAUCCAAGUGAAAGCAAAGCCAAAGAAGUAGAUUAAGCUUAGUUCUAGCCUUUUUAUGAUAUUUCUUGGGGUUUCCAAGUGGUUUGAGGUUUAGAAAAGCUUGAAGAGAUUGUUUUCGCCGAAAAGUUGCUCGGAUAAGCACAUCAAUACCUAAGACACCACUUGUUACACGGUGAACUAUAUUUUGGACAAAAAGGUAAGUAAAGUACUCAACUGCAACACAAGAAUUAUGUGUUAUGUGAAAGUAUGCAUUAUAUGAAUAUUUUGUGAGUAAGUGGUAUUAACAUACAUUGACACUUCAUCAUAAAUUUGUAUGCAUGGCAUAAUAGUGAUAUGGUAAAUUAUUAUAUGAUAUAAGACCAUCCAUGAUAUUAUGAUGAUUAAUUAUAUGAUGCCUUUGCAAGUUUUGUGCAACAUAAAAGAAAGUUGUAAUAAGAAGUUUAAGUUCAGUGCCACUGUUUUGAAAAGGCAAAUGAAAGUGUUAAUAAGUGUAAACGGAGGCCUAUAGUAGGCUUA